rnacentral:rRNA from 1 species
GUGAGUGAAGAAGGUUUUCGGUUCGUAAAAUUCUGUUGUAAGGGAAGACCAAGUACAGUAGUAUCUGGCUGUACCUUGACGGUACCUUAUUAGAAAGCCACGGCUAACUACGUGCCAGCAGCCGCGGUAAUACGUAGGUGGCAAGCGUUGUCCGGAAUUAUUGGGCGUAAAGCGCGCGCAGGCGGUCCUUUAAGUCUGAUGUGAAAGCCCACGGCUCAACCGUGGAGGGUCAUUGGAAACUGGGGGACUUGAGUGCAGAAGAGGAAAGUGGAAUUCCAAGUGUAGCGGUGAAAUGCGUAGAGAUAUGGAGGAACACCAGUGGCGAAGGCGACUUUCUGGUCUGUAACUGACGCUGAGGCGCGAAAGCGUGGGGAGCAAACAGGAUUAGAUACCCUGGUAGUCCACGCCGUAA